rnacentral:rRNA from 1 species
CCUACGGGAUGCAGCAGUGGGGAAUAUUGCACAAUGGGGGAAACCCUGAUGCAGCGACGCCGCGUGAGUGAAGAAGUAUUUCGGUACGUAAAGCUCUAUCAGCAGGGAAGAAAAUGACGGUACCUGACUACGACGCCACGGCUAACUCCGUUACAGCAACCGCGGUAAUACGUAGGGGGCAAACGUUAACCGGAUUUACUGGGUUUAAAGGGAGCGUAGACGGCAGCGCAAGUCUGGAGUGAAAUCCCAUGGCUUAACCAUGGAACUGCUGUGGAAACUGUGGAGCUGGAGUGCAGGAGAGGUAAGCGGAAUUCCUAGUGUAGCGGUGAAAUGCGUAGAUAUCAGGAGGAACACCAGUGGCGAAGGCGGCUUACUGGACUGUAACUGACGUUGAGGCUCGAAAGCGUGGGGAGCGAACAGGAUUAGAUACCCGGGUAGUC